rnacentral:tRNA from 1 species
UAGAAUAAUAUUCAAUAAUGAUAUCUAACUUGCUAUUAGAAAGUGCCCUCAGGCUUAUUUUACCC